AACAUUUUAUUCGUCACAUUUUAUUUCUUCUUCCAAAUUUGUGAAGUGAUCAAAAUAAAAACAAUUCAAUGAUAAAUCAUUAGAAUAACUUAUAAAUUCACAAAUAAAUAGAAAAUUGUUGUUAUUUGUCAUCAGGCAAAAGAUUAAAACGUAAUCCGUUUUUCAAACUUAUCUAAUGAAAAAAUAAACGAUAACAAUUCGAUAAUAAUUUGAUAGUGGCAAAAAGGUUAAAGUUCUUGCCGCCAGAGCGUUACUCAAGAGGUCAUUUUAGCGGAGAAUGGAAUCCGAGAAGCGACCUUGCGAGACAUUGAAUCGGUACAUAAUUGAAUUGUUCCACUUGACCACACGCUUGAAUCUUUCUUUGAAUUGAGGCAGCGAUUAAUGUAAUUAACCUAUAUUACAUAGCGUACCACCACGCGCCGAUUAAUUCCAUUAGAUCUGCCAGACGUCAUCGUAUCGUAAAAAAUCAUUGAGAUUAAUUCUCGACAUUUUUUUUUACAUUGCCGCAGAUUUUUUUCUAAUAAUAAACUUUUAAAAACUUACGAAAAUUACACGUAUACGAUAUCGAUAAUUUUCAUUAUCGCAAACAUAUUAUUUUAGAGAGAAUUAUCCAAGAAUGGAGAAGAAUUUUCUAUUAUUAUGUUGAAUAAAUAACUUCAUUUUUCAAAUCGUGUCGAAUUUUAUAUUGAUCAAUUUUUUUGAUUAAUCGGGCAAAUUAGCUUUACAAAGAAAGAAAGGCAAUAAGCGGAAUCUUGACAGUUAACUACUGUAUUGUAUUACAGCUAUGGAUGCGCGCAAUGCGAUAUUCGCGAUAUCAUAUAUACUCUGCGGAAGGAUGAGAAUAUAUAUAUAUACUUGCGUGUAUUUAAAAACAUUUAUCGAAAAAAAAUUGUCAUCUUAACACUUGGAUUCAAAUUUAAAACAGAUCGCUGGAUAAUGUAGUUUAUUAUCAUCGUAUACAUACCUGCUUCACAAACUUUUUUAUUCAUGCAAUUCCAUUUUUAAAAAUUAAAAAAAAAAUGAUGAAGAAUCGAGCGAAGAGCAAGGUUAUUAUUCUUACGCGAUUAUAAUUUUAUAAAUUUUCGGCAGAUGGCGAACGAAAGCUAUGACAUGUAUGGUCGCGUGGGUGUACCCUUCGGAAUGGCCCUAAGUUACAUAAUGCCGUAAUGCCUCCAUUUAACGCCAAUUGACCUCGUUGUACGCGUUUGCGCUAAAGGAAGUUUAACAAUUGCCAUUCAACCGAGCAAACCGUUGUGUCCACCGCGAAUUAGCCGCGGUUCGCGCUUCCGUCUUUUUCUCUCUUUUCCUUCUUUCCCUCUUUUUUCCCUUCUUUCCCUGUCAUUAUCCAUUAUUUUGACUAAAUCAAUCGAAAAGAUAAACACGUGUGCAAGUUUCUUCUCCCAUUCCGCUUAAUUAACAUCAAAACGAAGUAUAUCUGACGUUGAAAAGUACCGGGAAACGAUGUAAGGAUAAUCAGCCAAUUUCAAGGUUAGGAUCGAAAUCGAAGUAUUGUAUUCGAACGAUGAAUGCAAUUUGCAAAAAAAUUGUACAACUGCGAUAGGCUUCUGAGCUAAUUAAACCAAAAAGAAGAUGUAAUCUCACGAUUCUCACCACCUUCCUAUGCAUUUUUGGAUUAUUUUUCAACGAGACCAACCACGUUGAUGCAUUAAGAUAAAUUUAUGUACGAAGUCAUUUAUAUUUUUUUUUUAAUAAAUUUUUAUUUAACAUUCAUCAAGAGCAACUUUUUAAUUAAUGCAAUGAAUAAAAGUUAUAUUAUUAUUAAAAUGAAUGAUUGGUGAAAUCUGGAUAUAAAUCUAUAGCUAUAUUAUUUGCUUGUAAAAACUAUUAAAAUAAAUGUGAAUGAAAUUGUAUUAAAAAUUAAAUAUUAGCAAUAUUAA